rnacentral:rRNA from 1 species
UGGCUCAGGAUGAACGCUGGCGGCGUGCCUAAUACAUGCAAGUCGAGCGAACGGACGAGAAGCUUGCUUCUCUGAUGUUAGCGGCGGACGGGUGAGUAACACGUGGAUAACCUACCUAUAAGACUGGGAUAACUUCGGGAAACCGGAGCUAAUACCGGAUAAUAUUUUGAACCGCAUGGUUCAAAAGUGAAAGACGGUCUUGCUGUCACUUAUAGAUGGAUCCGCG